rnacentral:rRNA from 1 species
AAAGAAUUCAUAGAUUUUACCUUCUCUAUGCCAAGUGUAGUCCAGAAUGGAAAGAUUAAGUGUCCGUGUGCUAAAUGUCGAAACUAUGAGAGCAAGAACAGGGAUGAUGUAGAGUUAGAUCUGUGUCAUUUUGGUUUCAAGCGGAAUUAUACUGUUUGGACUACACAUGGCGAAGGGCAUGUCGAAAUUACAAACUAUAUAGAUGCUGCGGAGGCUGAUCGGAUGGACACUAUGCUGAAUGAUCUAGCUGCGCGUGCCCCCCCAAUUGAACAACAACCAAUAGCUUCAGCCCAAGCUUUCUAUAGAAUGAUUGAUAGUGUAAAAGAGUUGGUGCAUGAAAAUACAAGCCACUCAACUAUGUCUGCCAUAGCACGGUUGUUGACAAUAAAGUCACAACACAAUCAACCUGAAUCUUGUUAUAAUGAUACACUACAACUGAACCAUGAGCUGCUGCCUAACAAUUCCUCACUGCCAAAGGACUUCUAUAGGUCAAAGAAAUUGCUAGAGGGUCUUGGUAUGCCAUAUCAUAAAAUUCAUGUUUGUCCCAAAAAUUGCAUG